AAUUAGCUGCCGAAGACAGUAGGUGCCGUAAGGCAUAAGGAUGAAAACGCCUACCGAGGGAUGCAAGAUUCAAGAAUUGAAUUUUUGAAACCUCUGUGUCUAAGGGUGCAGAGGUUUUUUUA
rnacentral:sRNA from 1 species